UGGGGAAUAUUGGACAAUGGGCGAAAGCCUGAUCCAGCAAUGCCGCGUGAGUGAAGAAGGCCUUCGGGUUGUAAAGCUCUUUUACCCGGGAAGAUAAUGACUGUACCGGGAGAAUAAGCCCCGGCUAACUCCGUGCCAGCAGCCGCGGUAAUACGGAGGGGGCUAGCGUUGUUCGGAAUUACUGGGCGUAAAGCGCACGUAGGCGGUCUUUUAAGUCAGAGGUGAAAGCCCGGGGCUCAACUCCGGAAUUGCCUUUGAAACUGGGAGACUUGAACACGGGAGAGGUGAGUGGAAUUCCGAGUGUAGAGGUGAAAUUCGUAGAUAUUCGGAGGAACACCAGUGGCGAAGGCGGCUCACUGGACCGUUGUUGACGCUGAGGUGCGAAAGCGUGGGGAGCAAACAGG
rnacentral:rRNA from 1 species